AUUGAAUAGCCAACAUUAUGGUAGCAUGACUCUUACACCAGCAAUAAAGCACUACCCUUUUAACCUUCCCCUCUUCUCAUUAAGUUGUAAUAGCUGAGCAAAGAUGUGCAACCAUUGAUUCAUUUAACCUGUUUGAUAAUUAACUUGUAGUGUUCUGCAAGGAGAGUUUUCCACUUGUAUUUGGGUUUUGAAUUCCAGCUGUUAAG